rnacentral:rRNA from 1 species
AUAAAUUAAAUUAUUUUAAAAAUUAAAUUAAUUUGUAUAUUAUUUUAAAAUAAGUAGAUUUUUGUUUUAUUAUUAUAUUAGAAAAUAUUUUUUUUAUUAUAGUUAAUUAGUAUUGUGAAAGAAAUUUUUUUAUACAAAAAAAAGAAAAAUUUAUUUUUUGUACCUUGUGUAUCAGGGUUGAUUAAUUAUUAGUAAUAUUUUUUAAAUUCUCGAAUUUAAAAGAGCUAAUUUUAUAUAAUUUUUAAUGUAAAAUAAUUAUUGAUAAUAUAGAGUUGGAAAUGAAACGUUAUUCGUUUUUAAAUAUAUCUAGUUUUUUAAGAAAAAAAUUUAAUUUUAUUUUUUAAUAAUAAAAAUUUUUAUUUUUAAUAUUUUAUUAUUAAAAAGGUUAUAUUUUUAGGGAUGAGCUUAAAAAUAGAUUUUUAUAAGUUUUUCAGUAAUUUAGAGUUGUAGGAUUAGAAAUUUUCAUCUUUAAGAAUUUGUUAUAAUUUAUUUAAAAUUAUAUAUUAUUUAUAUUUAUUUUAAAUUUUUUAUUAAAAUAUUAAUUAUAAUUUUUAUUGUUGGGGAUUGAUGAUAAAAUUAGUAUAAUUUAUUGUAAUUUUAUUUUUAAAAUUAAGGUUAAAUAAAGGAACUCGGCAAAUAUAUUUUUCACCUGUUUAUUAAAAACAUGUCUUUUUGAUGAUAAUUUAAAGUCUGACCUGCCCACUGAGGAUUUAAAUGGCCGCGGUACUUUGACCGUGCAAAGGUAGCAUAAUCAUUAGUUUUUUAAUUGAAAGCUGGUAUGAAGGGUUUAAUGAGAAAAUAACUGUCUCUAUUUAAUUUAAUUAGAAUUUUAUUUUUAAGUUAAAAAGCUUAAAUUUUUUUAAAAGACGAGAAGACCCUAUAGAGCUUUAUAAAUAUUUUAAAUUAUAAUUUUAGUAUUAAUAAAAUUAGUUUAUUUUAUUUAUUUAGUUGGGGUGAUUGAAAAAUUUAUUAAACUUUUUUUAUAUUAUUUCAUUUAUUUAUGAGUAGUUGAUCCUAAAUUUUAGAUUAAAAGAUAAAGCUACCUUAGGGAUAACAGCGUAAUUUUUUUCUAGAGUUCAAAUCGAAAAAAAAGAUUGCGACCUCGAUGUUGGAUUAAAAUUAAUUUUUGGUGUAGGGGCUAGGAAAUUAGGUCUGUUCGACCUUUAAAAUUUUACAUGAUCUGAGUUUAAACCGGUGUAAGCCAGGUUGGUUUCUAUCUUUAAAUAGUUAAUAUAUUUUAGUACGAAAGGACCAAAUAUUUAGUUUAAAAUUUUUUAUUAGGAAUAAAAUU